rnacentral:rRNA from 1 species
CAGCAGCAGCCACGGGAAUACAGAGGGUGCGAGCGUUAAUCGGAUUUACUGGGCGUAAAGCGUGCGUAGGCGGCUUCUUAAGUCGGAUGUGAAAUCCCUGAGCUUAACUUAGGAAUUGCAUUCGAUACUGGGAAGCUAGAGUAUGGGAGAGGAUGGUAGAAUUCCAGGUGUAGCGGUGAAAUGCGUAGAGAUCUGGAGGAAUACCGAUGGCGAAGGCAGCCAUCUGGCCUAAUACUGACGCUGAGGUACGAAAGCAUGGGGAGCAAACAGGAUUAGAUACCCCCGUAGUCCCUGUCUCUUAUAC